UUGUUCUUUUUUCAAAGGAAUUUGGUUUUGUUGGCCAACGUGAUGCAAAAAUUGAUGGGGUUAAGACUCACUCUCCUUUCGAGGCCCAUCAACCAGUAGCCCAUGUCUCUAAAGAUGGUAGUCAGAUAGGAGAGAUUUCAUCCAAGCCUUCCUUCUUCCCGAAUCUUAACCCCCCAAAACAUUGAACUCAAGAUGUGAGACUGCAAUUCAGCACCUCUUCCCACAAAGAUUCGGAAUCCAUCAAAUUUUUUGGAGGUAGUGCCCUUUCUUGUGAAUCAAUGUCAUAUUCCGAUGUCAUCAAAGGAAAUAAAAUGUUCAGGGAAGUUAAAGACUCGGAAGCAUCAAAGAAGAUUUGGGAAAAAGCUGUCAAAUUUGGAGUUCGAGCUUCUGAAGGUGAGGAUAUUCAUAUUGAAGUCAUCAAGUACUUGGAGUAAAGGAAUCAAUUAGGUAAUUGUCAUAAGGAAAUAUCUAACAAAGCUUUUCAAUGAAUAUUCUUUACUUAAAUAUUUGAGGGUGUGAUAGUUUGAUUACGAGAAGAAGCUUGAGGACGAAGAUUUCCACAUGAGACUUUGACAUUUGUAUGCUCCCGGAGACGAAAAUCCAGUCAAUUACCGAUGAUAUGGUUCAUUUAUUAUGGGGAAACAAUGAUGUGGGAUGAACAUCAAAAUAUUCACUUGGAAGAUCGGGGGGCUUCUAUCAUGUGGAAACCAUAUUUAUUCUCUCUUAAUUUCAGUUUUAGAGGUGAGAGGUUUGUAGGGUUGAAUUUUAGUUGGAAGGGUGUGUCUGUUUACUUAGUGAAUGUUUAUUCUUCCUAUUUUAUUGAUAAGAAGAGAUUGUUAUGGAAACAUUUAAAGGAUUUGGAAAGCAGAUUGCCUCAAGGGUAGUGAAAUAUAGGGGUAGAUUUUAAUGCUAUUAAGAAACCGAGGGAAAAGAAGGGGAAAAGUGAUAAGGUUUAUAGAGGAGGGAUGAUUGAGUUUACUGCUUUCAUAGCCAAGAUGGAGAUAAUUGAUUUAUCGAUUUUUGGAGGGAACUUUAAUUGGCACAAGGUGGAUGGAUCUAGAAUGAGAAGGUAAAAAAAAUAAUGCUUAUUGUUAAAGGUGGAUUUCCAAAAAGCCUUUGAUAGCGUCAGUUGGGAUUAUCUGAGGUACCUCAUGAAGAUAAUGUGUUUUGGCUCCAAGUGGCAGCUUUAUAUGGAAGCCAUUGUAUUCAAUAACUCAAUGCCUAUAUUUAUUAAUGGAACUCCUACAAAUGAAUUCCAAGUUAUUAGAGGUUUGAGGCAGAGGGACUCUCUAUCCCUUUUUCUCUUCUUGUUAGUUGUAUAAGGCUUAGUUUGUUUUGUCCAGAAUGCUACUGGUUUGAAUGAGUUACAUGGGUUCCAUCUUAAUGAAAAUAUUCAUUUUGAGAUGGUACAAUUUUCAGACGAUGCCAUCUUACUUUGUGAUGGAUCUUGGAAUAACUUUUGGAGCCUUAAGGCUAUCUUGAGAGGCUUUGAGGUGGCAUCAAGACUUAGGUUUAAUUUGUCAAAAAUAAAUUUCUUUGAUCUUAAUUUGAAGGAUAACUUUGUUGAAGCGACAUCCUCCUUCUUGUCUUGUCCAAUUGAAAACAUGCCUUUCAAUUUUUUGAGAGUAUUUGUUGGAAUCAACUCUAUAAGAAAGAAAGUUUGGUUUCCUUUAGUGAAUAAGUUUUAAAAAAAUAGAUUGUCUUCAUGGAAAGCUAAGCAGAUGUCCAUGAGAGGGAGAUAAUGGUAAUAACCAACUCAGAGUUGUCCAACAUCCCUAUUUAUCAGUUAUCCUUCUACAAGAUUCCAAGAGUCAUAGAAAAAGAAAUUAUAAAGAUACACAGUUUUUUUGUGGGGAGAUAAUGGUGAUCAAAAGAAGAUGAGUUGGAUAAGCUGGAAAAAUAUUUGCAGAAGAAAGAAAGAGGGUGUUUUAGGAGUCAAGCAUGUCGGAGCCUUCAACUUUGCUUUGUUAUCCACGUGGUUGUGGAGAAUAAUUUCGGAGCCAAAAGCUAUAUGGAUGGAUCUUCUUACUUUUAUUGUGGUGGAUAAGAUCCUUAGUUUUCAAGAUUCCCAGUUGGCAAAAGAGACUUUUUAUGGUGAAGAGAUAUGGUUGCCCUAGACUUUAGAUAUAUGGAAGAUGAGAAUUGUUUCGCUAACUCCAUUAAAUGCAUGGUAGGAAAUGGAAUUACAGUUAGUUUUUGGCAUCCUAACUAGUGUGAGCCUGAUUUAUUGAAUAAUUAUUUCCUAUUAUAUUUGAUAUUUCUAUUAGCAAGGAAGCAAGAGUGGACAAUAUGUGAAGAUGAUCUAGAGGGACAUUGGAAUGGAAUAUGUAUUUGAUGAAGGAGAAUCUGGUUUAAGAAGAAUUUAAGCACCUUGAUGAGCCCAUGCAAAUUCUUGAACAGUUAUAUAUUUUCCCUGAUAAAGAGGGUUCAUUCAAGUGGUGGAUGAACAACUAUGACUCUCAUUUAGAACCAGCUAUUAUGUUUUCUAAUUGUCUUUGGGUGAGGUCAUCAUUCCGAACGAGGCGUGCUUAACAUGUUUGGAGAAAGUCUGGAAGUCGAGGAUUCUUAGUGAAUUCCAGGUUUUUUUAUUGGAGGUUGUUGCAUAAUGGUUUACCAAAUAAGUCUCAGUUGGUCAAGCGAGGAAUUUUAAACGGUUUCCAUAACUGAGUUUGCCCUUUGUAUUUUUCUGUUGGGGAAGAAGAUAUUCAUUUAUUCUUUGACUGCUCUGUUAGGUAAGCUGUUUGGAGGAGUUUGUGCAACUAGUUAGACAUUUAGUUCAACUGCAGUGUUUGGCUUAAUUCCUAACCAUGUUUUAUAGCUUUGUACCCAGAUGGAAAGGAAGUUUCAUGAUCACUUUCUUUGCCUCUCUUGGUCUGCAACUUGUUAGACCUUGGGGACUACCCGAAAUUUUAUUCUUUUUCAGGGAGAAGUCUUGAGUAGUUGGGACUGUUUUUUAGGGAAGAAUCAAGUUGUUAUCUUAGGAAUGGUACCAAGUGUUUUUUUAGAAAUAAUAAUCUCAUUAGUUAGGAGGUUUGGAGGAUAUUCUGUCACGUUCUCAAUUGCAAACUUUUGUAAUUUCGAUUUGUAUUUGUCUUUUAUUCCUUUCUUCUUUCUCCUUAUGUUAAGGGUUUAACACCCCUUAUGCUCCUCAUAAUUCAAAUUGUUGUUUAUAAUAAAAAAAGUGUUUAAAGAGAUUAA